rnacentral:rRNA from 1 species
UACGUAGGGUGCGAGCGUUACUCGGAAUUACUGGGCGUAAAGCGUGCGCAGGCGGUUUUGUAAGGCAGAUGUGAAAGCCCCGGGCUUAACCUGGGAACUGCAUUUGUGACUGGCAGGCUAGAGUAUGGCAGAGGGGGGUAGAAUUCCACGUGUAGCAGUGAAAUGCGUAGAGAUGGGGAGGAAUACCGAUGGCGAAGGCAGCCCCCUGGGCCAAUACUGACGCUCAUGCACGAAAGCGUGGGGAGCAAACAGG